rnacentral:rRNA from 1 species
AUUGAACGCUGGCGGAAUGCUUUACACAUGCAAGUCGAACGGCAGCACGGACUUCGGUCUGGUGGCGAGUGGCGAACGGGUGAGUAAUGUAUCGGAACGUGCCCAGUCGUGGGGGAUAACGUAGUGAAAAUUACGCUAAUACCGCAUACGAUCUAUGGAUGAAAGCGGGGGAUCGCAAGACCUCGCGCGAUUGGAGCGGCCGAUAUCAGAUUAGGUAGUUGGUGGGGUAAAGGCCACCAAGCCAACGAUCUGUAGCUGGGCUGAGAGGACGACCAGCCACACUGGAGCGGGAACACGGUCCAGACUCCUACGGGAGGCAGCAGUGGGGAAUUUUGGACAAUGGGCGAAAGCCUGAUUCAGCCAUUCCGCGUGCAGGAUGAAGGCCCUCGGGUUGUAAACUGCUUUUGUACAGAACGAAAAGGUUUCUACUAAUACUAGGAGCUCAUGACGGUACUGUAAGAAUAAGCACCGGCUAACUACGUGCCAGCAGCCGCCGUAA